GUUUUUGGAGAAAGUGAGCUCGAUUGUGUGGGAAGGGAGAAUCCGAGCAGAGAGGACACGGAUGUUGUCACGUGACUGAAGAAACCUAAGGAAACGGUCGACCAUGAAGAUGUAGAAGCCAGGUAAAGCGAUGAAUGAAAAUGUUAUGCCGACGUGGAGGACGAAGAAAAGCAUGAAGACGAUGUAGAGAUAGUGAGUGUAGAAGAAGACUUCAAAGAAUCUCCUCCUCAUCGCCGGAAAUGCGGUGGCCCACAUCAGAAGUCCGGCCACUAGUGAUAUCUCUCCCGCUAAAUUCGAGAUAUCUUUUGUAUCCCACAUGAGCAUCUGCGCCAUUAAUUAAUUCAACGGCAGUUUUAUUAUUUACUACCAAGUAUAAAGUGAAAUGAAAUACGUACAAGGUUGACAAAAAGAAAUCACUGGAUUUACUUCAAUGAGAUUCUUUCGGUUUAUAAAACACACUUUUUUUGUCAGCGUUUAUAAAAGGCACAUAAAAAUGACAUUAAAUUAUAUUACUCAGAUCGUAAAAGUCGUAUACGAUUUUCUUAGGAUGAACACUUAUCCUAAAGUUUCCACCUUGAAAUGCGAGCUUCAUUAUUUUUCUUUUGUUUUUGAAUCAAACGAAUAUUAAUUGCUUAACAUUCAUCCCAUGUGAAGACCCAAUAUUAAACAUUUGACCGCAAUAUAAUACUCUCUGUUUUCUUUUAAAUGACGUCGUAAAAAUUUCACACAAAUUAAAACACUUAGUAUAAUUCAUUUUCUACCAUUCUUUAUUAAUUGAGAUCAUGUAUUGUAAAUCAUUUGAAGUAAAGUAAAUAUGGGUAAAUAUAGUUUUUUUAUCGCUUAUUUUUUAUUGUUUUCAGUAAAACGUCAGCUAUAUUGAAACUAAAAAUUUUUUUCAAAACUUCAUUUAAAUAAAAACGGAAGAAGUACUAUUUAAUUAUAAUUAUAAAAAGAACUUCAUUCGUAUGGAAGGUGCUCUAUUCGGAGUGACGUUGACCGGGCAUGGUGUAUUAGUUUGGACUUUGUCUUCGUAUCUAGAGGCGGGGACCCAAUUACUGGAAUAUUAGGCCGAGCCAAAAUCGAAUCCAUAUAUUAACCUGGUUUUUGUUUUUUUUGCUACUUAAAUAAACCAAAAAUAUACCUGAGAGGUUUCAUGCAUAGAGACCCAAUAGAUGACGUAACAUAGACCAUGAACGGUGAAAAUGGCUAGGACCAUAUGGCCGAGCCAAAUAUGGUAUUUGAUGCUUGACUCCGACGUAAGUCCCACCGCCGGUAGCAAAGACGACCCACGUGCCACCGGUAAGAACAAAAAUGCUAAACAUAUGUUUCCAAUCAGCCCUAUCCUUAAGGCCGCUGACUCCAGCUUGGCUUGCCACCUUUAAUUCAUCAAAAUUUUCUCAACUUUUGAAAACAUACUAAACUGUCUAUAUAGUUCUCUUGAUCUAUUAAAACUUUAUUUGAUCAAAAUGAUUUAGUAAAGUUAUUAUGCAAAAAAAAAAUUAUUAUGCAAAUUUAUCAUGUGAUAAACCAUGAAUUAACCAUCAUAUAAUAGACUAAUAGUAUUUUAGUAAUCAGUAUAAUUAUAUUCAUUUGUUUUGGCAUAGAUUUUCUAUAAUAAUAAUAUUUUUCAGAUAUACAUAAAAUAAACGAAUCAGAUAUAAUAAUAACACAACCAUAUAUUAUAUUUUGUAUGGUUGAUAGCGAAAGAAGAAAGAAAUGCUUACAAAGAUUCGCCAUGUGCGGCGGCUGAUCGAGGAGUGAUAGUGGCAAAGUUAUUGCGCAAGUAAGUGAUAAAGCUCCAAAGAAGAAGAGCCACAAACAUAGCCAAGAACAUGAUCUCAGUCGCUGAGACGAUCCCCAAUGGUCCCUUCACUAACAUUGGCUUUCUCAGUGCACUCAACACUCCUCCAUUCGUCUCCCUUUAUUAUACAGAGAAACAAAUUGUCAGAAGAAUGAUGAAAGGUAUACAAUUGUUCCGUCGACACCGAAUCGGCGAAUUUUAUACCUAACGAUAUGGUGUGGAUUCUUUCGUUUCUUGAAGUGAAGAUAGACACAUCCUAAACAAGCUACCACGACCAUUGGGAACAUAUACAUGAAAAGUGUCGUCCCUGUAAUGCAAAAAGAAGAAUAUUAAGAAAAAUUACUUGUUUUAAACAAUUAAAAAGAAAAGAUUACUAAACACANNNNNNNNNNNNNNNNNNNNNNNNNNNNNNNNNNNNNNNNNNNNNNNNNNNNNNNNNNNNNNNNNNNNNNNNNNNNNNNNNNNNNNNNNNNGAUUGCUUUAUCUGAAGAUUAUAUUUCUACAUUUUACUGACUUUUGAUUGUUCUGGCCAAGAUACUCUAUGAUAAAGUGGGGUAAGUUAGUUUUCGUUCUUGAUCGCCUUUGAGCUCUGGACCUUUAUUGAGUUAGUGUUUCUUUGGCAUUUUUUUUCUCUGGGAUUAUGGUGGUUUUAUGUUUAAAUUAUGUGUUCUGCUUUAGUUUGGUUAAUAUUAAGAUAAAUAUAUAGUUGUAAAUGAAAUAAUAGAAAAUAGUAAAAAAUAAUAAAAUAACGAAAGUUUAUGUUAUUUUUAGCUGCGAAUAAAUUAAAUAUUUAAAGUACAUUUAUAUUUUUUACUUAUUUCUUUAUUCGUUUUGCAAUUUUUUGAACAAUAAAAUAGAUUAAAAUAUAUUAGCAAAAUUCAAAUGAUGAUGGUUAGUGUGAGAAGGAUUAGAUAAUGUAUAAUUAGAAAAUAGUGAACCAAAUUGCAAUAAUCUAAAAGAAGAAGAAUCUAAAAUGUAAAAAGACAAAAAAAUGACACGUGGCAGCAAACCCCCCUGCCACUUGUCGGAAGAAGGGAAAAAGUCUACUUUAUAUAUAAAGAUUGUUCACAGCAUAAAGGAAAAAUCUGGGUUUUGUUUCGUAAAGUACUAUUAUCAGAGACAUGAAGUUAUUCUUAAUAUUAAAAACUAUAUUCUUGUGGAAAAAGGUAAACACAUUUUCAUUUAUAAUUAUGAUAUCCAAACUGUUUAAAUAGAUGAAACUCAGCUUUGUAUAUAGCAAGGCAAUGAAAUUCAAGCUUUUUGAAAAAUCUUUUGUGGUAAAACAUGAUAAAAAAAACUUGAAAGGAAAUUAGAAAAAAUCAGCUUGCUAUUGAUUUCUAUUUACUAAGUAUUUUAUGUAUAUAUUAUUUAAAGUUUAUUAACUUUUACAAUCAAGCUAUAAUUUUUUUUUGCAGAUAUAUAAUUCAGAUAUGAAAAGCAGGUAAAUAUUCAUUUAAUAGAUUUACAUACAUUUAUAGAUUAAACAUGUUCUAUGAAAUUUAUACUUUUAUACAAUGAAUUUUAUGUUCCGAUGUGUUAUUUAGGUUUAGAAAAUAUGUGAAAAAAUAAAUAAUUUAUUCUGAUAUAUUGAUAAGCUUUACAAUUUUAUGAUUUCUGCAAACAAAAAUAUAAUUUUAGUUAAAAAUAGGAUGAUAGUGAAAUUAAUUGACCCGUGCUUGGCACGGGAGGUAACUAGUAUAUAUAUAUAUACUGAAUAUAAGAAUAAUAAAUUAAAUUAUAAGGAUAAAUUUUACUAUCAGAUUUCUUGUUAUAUUAGUUUAUUAAAAAGAAUAUUAAUAAGAGAGUUAUUCAUCCGACGAACAAAACAUGCAUGGCUGUUGAUGUGGGUCGUAAAUUCGCAAUACCUAACUACUGUCACAUUUUCCCAGUAAGAUUGCACUUCACAGAACACAUACAUAAGUAAAAUCUUAUACAUCGAAAAAGAGGAGGAAAAAUGUGAUACUUAAGAUCACAAAGAAACAAAAGGUCAAAUAUAUAAGUGCGAUCUUAUUAUAUACCUUGGCCUUAUUAACAAAUAAUGGAAACUUGAAUCAUCGAGCUCCUAUAUAUGGAGUGUGUUUUUCGUACGCGGAUGUGUGUCAAUGUCUCUUUGUACACGAAUCUUUGCGUGUCGAUCAAAUUCUAAUUAUUAGUUACAAAUAUAUAAUUUUUAUAUCAUACCAUAAUUCUACUUUUCUUUUGCCUUCGAUUUUAUUCCUUGUAUAAUUAACCAUUGGGAAAAAUCUCACUUCAUAUACGUGAAGUCAAAAUAACUGUUUUAACAACAGGUCAACGAAAUAAAAUAUCUAUAGGAGUCUGAAUGAAAUAAGAAAGAGAGAUAGAACUAUACAUAUCUUAUAUGACAAAAAGGAUUUUUAUUAUUUUCAGCAUUUACAAUUUACAAAAGCUUCAUGCCUCAAUUCGUGAUCGAGAUUGUAACAUAACGAAACGUGCGUAAGGAUUAGAAACACAAGGGUUUAGGGUAACUUUGGGGGAUUUUCACACUAAAUAUUCCUAAAGGAGAAAAACAAGAACUGGAAAAAGUCAAAUGUAACAAGCACAGAAAGAUAUAGGUCAGAUCACAGGACCCCUUAUUAACUUGCAAUCCAAGCAACUUCCACGACAGAUGAAAAACAGUGUGUUCUACGUGAUAAUUAACCACUCACCAGCUGAAACUGAUAGAUUCAAAAUGGAGAUUCUUAGCCAAACCAGAGGAACAUAUCUUCGCAACAUUUUGUCUCAUCUUCCUCGGACCACACACAAGAACUCCCACACUCGAACCUUCCACGUCAAGUAGAAGUUCUGUUCAUAGACACCAACAAACACCUAAUUAGAAUAACAAAAUAUAUACUCGGAUACGUAUAGAUGUGGAGAAAGGGUAAUGUAUAUAUUACUCGUUAGGUUAGGUCUUUCUCCAUAAUGCAGGUUGGUGCACUGUAGGAGCGAUUCUUGUGGGGAACUUUCGAUUUCUCUCAAGGAAUUGUUACCACAUGAGGUUGGAGAAGACGUUGGAGACGGAACGUCGACGUUCUGAACCUGUUUAUUUUCGAUGUUUCCGUACUUGUUCUUCUUGUUCCAAAACAUAGCUGCACUUGAAGUCGCCAUGAUGCUCACACAGAUGACUAAGAUGUAUAUGAUGUUUUUUGAAGUCAGUGAGUAGAUCUUGUUGGUGUUGUGGUCGAUCGGGUAAAUGUAAUACCUAGUGAUGAUACCGAUAAUUAUUAAGAAGAUCAAGAACGAGGAUGAGAUAAUUCCGCCGAGCCAUAGCCAUGAGUUUGGUCCGAGGAUUGAUGAGAUGGGCUGGUCUGAAAGACUUGGUUUAAACCAUAGAGUUUUGAUUUUCUCCGUGGGAGCUUCGCUUCUUGGUUCUUUCUCUCGGGUUAUGAAGGCUUCGAUUUUGAUGUUUAUGUCCGAUGAUAGUUGUGUUUGGAGACCGGAUAAUGGCAAGACAAGAUCAAGCAUGGAGAUUUCUGAAGACUUCUUAAAAGCGCAAAUCAGAGUGAUUUUGGGGAUUUUGCAUUUUUGGUUUUGGCUUGUUGCGAUCAUAUCACGGAUGACCGAAAUAAAUGGAGUUAUCCCGCUUCCUCCGCUCACCAUAACCAGAGCUUCAUGCCUAGACCACCCCAAGAAAACAAAAAUAACGUUGAUAUAUCAAAUGUUUCUUGAGACCCAAGCAAUCAAACUAUUAUUGUGUCUUUGAGAUAGUAUACCUUAAGAAAUCAGUGGAAGCAGGACCGUAAGGACCCUCGACAGAGACAGCGAGGUGGUCGAUCUGAUCAGAAGAAGAAAGCCUCUGAUAAAGCUUAGUUGACCAUUUGCCUUCGCUCUUGAUCACAACACUUAGCUUCUCUGGUUCGAGUUUGCUGCUUGAAGUAAUUGUAAAUGGAUGCCAUUGCAUCUUCGAAAUGCUCGGUAUGUUCACAAACAAUAUGCUCGUCGGACUAUAAACCAAACCUGUUUAAUAAAGGAACAUUAUAGCUUAUUUAUAAACUAUUUGAAUCACAAUCACAAUUAUAAGAAGUUGUAAAAUUUUGAGAACUCACUAGGGUUUUUGGAGAAAGUGAGCUCGAUUGUGUGGGAAGGGAGAAUCCGAGCAGAGAGGACACGGAUGUUGUCACGUGACUGAAGAAACCUAAGGAAACGGUCGACCAUGAAGAUGUAGAAGCCAGGUAAAGCGAUGAAUGAAAAUGUUAUGCCGACGUGGAGGACGAAGAAAAGCAUGAAGACGAUGUAGAGAUAGUGAGUGUAGAAGAAGACUUCAAAGAAUCUCCUCCUUAUCGCCGGAAAUGUGG
rnacentral:lncRNA from 1 species